rnacentral:rRNA from 1 species
UUAGAGUUUGAUCAUGGCUCAGAUUGAACGCUGGCGGCGUGCUUAAUAUAUGCAAGUCGAGCGGUAACAGGCGUAGCAAUACGUGCUGACGAGCGGCGAACGGGUGAGUAAUGCUUCGGAAUCUUCCUCGUAGUGGGGAAUAACCUGGGGAAACUCAGGCUAAUACCGCAUACGAACUACGGUUGAAAGCGGGGGAUCGCAAGACCUCGCGCUAUGAGAUGAGCCGAAGUCGGAUUAGCUUGUUGGUGAGGUAAAGGCUCACCAAGGCGACGAUCCGUAGCUGGUCUGAGAGGACGACCAGCCACACCGGGACUGAGACACGAGCUAGACUCCUACGGGAGGCAGCAGUGGGGAAUAUUGGACAAUGGGGGCAACCCUGAUCCAGCGACGCCGUGUGUGUGAAGAAGGCCUGCGGGUUGUAAAGCACUUUUAGUGGGGAUGAAAAGCCGAGGGCUAAUACUCUUCGGUCUUGACCUAACCCAAAGAAAAAGCACUGGCUAACUCUGUGCCAGCAGCCGCGGUAAUACAGAGGGUGCAAGCGUUAAUCGGAAUUACUGGGCGUAAAGCGUGCGUAGUCGGUUAUCUAAGUCGGGUGUGAAAUCCCCGGGCUCAACCUGGGAAUUGCAUUCGAUACUGGAUAGCUUGAGUUCGGCAGAGGGAAGCGGAAUUUCCGGUGUAGCGGUGAAAUGCGUAGAUAUCGGAAGGAACAUCAGUGGCGAAAGCGGCUUCCUGGACCAGAACUGACGAUCAGGCACGAAAGCGUGGGGAGCAAACAGGAUUAGAUACCCUGGUAGUCCACGCCAUAAACGAUGACAACUAGACGUUGGGCGGGUAAGCCGCACAGUGUCGCAGCUUAC